GACGAACGCUGGCGGCGUGCUUAACACAUGCAAGUCGAACGGUCCUGUUUUUGAAGCGCUUCGGCGUGGAGGGGACGGGGCAGUGGCGCACGGGUGAGUAAUGCGCGAGGACCUGCCCGCAGGAGGGGGACAGCAGUUGGAAACGGCUGGUGAUACCCCGUAGGCCGGGAGGUGAAAGGGCGGAGACGCCCGCCUGCGGAUGGACUCGCGUCCUAUCAGCUAGUUGGUGAGGCAACGGCUCACCAAGGCGACGACGGGUAGCCGGCCUGAGAGGGUGUCCGGCCACACUGGAACUGAGACACGGUCCAGACUCCUACGGGAGGCAGCAGGUGGGGUAAUUUUGGGCAAUGGGGGAGACCCUGACCCAGCGACGCCGCGUGAGGGACGAAGGCCCUUGGGUCGUAAACCUCUUUUGCAGGGGAAGAAGAAGAUGACGGUACCUUGCGAACAAGUCCCGGCUAACUACGUG
rnacentral:rRNA from 1 species